rnacentral:misc_RNA from 1 species
UCCGAGUUGACCCCGGCGGUCUCCCGUGAGUCCCCAACUAAAUGCUGGCAACAUGGAACGGGGGUUGCGCUCGUUGCGGGACUUAACCCAACAUCUCACGGCACGAGCUGACGACAGCCAUGCACCACCUGUGAAGGUGUCCCGAAGGAAAACCGUGUUUCCACGGCGGUCACCUACAUGUCAAGCCCAGGUAAGGUUCUUCGCGUUGCAUCGAAUUAAUCCGCAUGCUCCGCCGCUUGUGCGGGCCCCCGUCAAUUCCUUUGAGUUUUAGCCUUGCGGCCGUACUCCCCAGGCGGGGCGCUUAAUGCGUUAGCUGCGGCACGGAGGCCGUGGAAGGACCCCCACACCUAGCGCCCAACGUUUACGGCGUGGACUAC